GUGGGGAAUAUUGGGCAAUGGGCGAAAGCCUGACCCAGCAACGCCGCGUGAGGGAAGAAGGCCUUCGGGUUGUAAACCUCUGUCCUUGGUGACGAAAAAAAUGACGGUAGCCAAGGAGGAAGCCCCGGCUAACUACGUGCCAGCAGCCGCGGUAAUACGUAGGGGGCGAGCGUUGUCCGGAAUUACUGGGCGUAAAGGGUGCGUAGGUGGCCUUUUAAGUUGGAUGUGAAAUACCCGGGCUUAACUUGGGGGGUGCAUCUAAUACUGAAGGGCUAGAGUGCAGGAGAGGGAAGCGGAAUUCCUAGUGUAGCGGUGAAAUGCGUAGAUAUUAGGAGGAACACCAGUGGCGAAGGCGGCUUUCUGGACUGUAACUGACACUGAGGCACGAAAGCGUGGGGAGCAAACAGGAUUAGAUACCCGUGUAGUCC
rnacentral:rRNA from 1 species